rnacentral:pre_miRNA from 1 species
UUAAUACUCCCUCCGUCCGGAAUUACUUGUCGCGAAAAUGAAUGUAUCUAGAACUAAAAUACGUCUAGAUACAUCCAUUUCCCCGACAAGUAUUUCCGAACGGAGGGAGUACAUC